rnacentral:rRNA from 1 species
GGGGAAUAGUGGACAAUGGGCGCAAGCCUGACCCAGCCAUGCCGUGUGGGUGAAGAAGGCCUUCGGGUUCUAAAGCCCUUUUGGUGGGGAAGAAAAGCAGCAGGCCAAUACCCGGUUGUUCUGAGGGUACCCAUAGAAUAGGCACCGGCCAACUGCGUGCCAGCAGCCGCGGUAAUACGAAGGGUGCAAGCGUUACUCGGAAUUACUGGGCGUAAAGCGUGCGUAGGUGGUGGUUUAAGUCCGUUGUGAAAGCCCUGGGCUCAACCUGGGAACUGCAGUGGAUAGUGGAUCACUAGAGUGUGGCAGAGGGUAGUGGAAUUCCCGGUGUAGCAGUGAAAUGCGUAGAGAUCGGGAGGAACAUCAGUGGCGAAGGCGACUGCCUGGGCCAACACUGACACUGAGGCACGAAAGCGUGGGGAGCAAACA